AGAUUGAACGCUGGCGGCAUGCCUAACACAUGCAAGUCGAACGGGAGUAGCAAUACUCUAGUGGCGGACGGGUGAGGAAUACGUAGGAAUUUGCCCUUAAGUGGGGGAUAACCCGGGGAAACCCGGAUUAAUACCGCAUGACCUCGAAAGAGCAAAGUGGGGGAUCGCAAGACCUCACGCUUUUGGAGAAGCCUACGUCGGAUUAGCUAGUUGGUGAGGUAAUGGCUCACCAAGGCGACGAUCCGUAACUGGUCUGAGAGGAUGAUCAGUCACACCGGAACUGAGACACGGUCCGGACUCCUACGGGAGGCAGGCAGGUGGGAAUAGUUGGACAAGUGGGCGCAAGCCUGGACUCCAGCAAUGCCGCGUGUAGUGAAGAGGCCUUCGGGUUAGUUAAAGAC
rnacentral:rRNA from 1 species